UACGGAGGGAGCUAGCGUUGUUCGGAAUUACUGGGCGUAAAGCGCACGUAGGCGGCGAUUCAAGUCAGAGGUGAAAGCCCGGGGCUCAACCCCGGAACUGCCUUUGAAACUAGAUUGCUAGAAUCCUGGAGAGGUGAGUGGAAUUCCGAGUGUAGAGGUGAAAUUCGUAGAGAUCGGGAGGAACAUCAGUUGCGAAGGCGGCUCUCUGGACCAGCACUGACACUGAGGCACGAAAGCGUGGGGAGCAAACAGG
rnacentral:rRNA from 1 species